UACGUAGGGGGCUAGCGUUGUCCGGAAUCAUUGGGCGUAAAGCGCGCGUAGGCGGCCAGAUUAGUCCGGUGUGAAAGUCAGAGGCUCAACCUUUGAAUGCCGCUGGAAACUGUCUGGCUAGAGUCCGGGAGGGGCGAGUGGAAUUCCUGGUGUAGCGGUGAAAUGCGCAGAUAUCAGGAGGAACACCGGUGGCGAAGGCGGAUCUCUGGGCCUUGCCUGACGCUGAGGCGCGAAAGCUAGGGGAGCAAACGGG
rnacentral:rRNA from 1 species